GAAAGCGAAGUGCGAGGAAACCCGCACGCUUCGUUUGGGGAGAGGGAUGGUGAAACACGCAUGGUGUGAGCCGUGAAGGUGCGCGCUGUCCCUACUCCAC
rnacentral:ncRNA from 1 species